GACGAACGCUGGCGGCGGGCUUAACACAUGCAAGUCGAACGGAAAGGCCCUGCUUGUGUGGGGUGCUCGGGUGCCGAUCGGGUGAGUAAGACGAGUGCAACCUGCCCUUGUCUUUGGGAUAACUUCAGGAAACGGGGGCUAAUAUCGGACAGCAGACGCUGUGGCAGGGAGGGGGUGGGAAAGUUGCGGCGGGUGGGGAUGGAUGCGCGGCUUAUCAGCUUGUUGGUGGGGUGGUGGCUUACCAAGGCUUUGACGGGUAGCCGGCCUGGGAGCGUGACCGGCCUCAAGGGUCCUACGAGACGGCGCAGUGUCCAACGGUAGCCAGCAGUGGGGAACAUUGCACAAUGAGCGGGAGCCUGAUGAGACAACGCCGCGUGCGGAAUGACGGCCUGCGGGUUGUAAAAAGCAUUAGCCUGUGACGCCGCUGGUGUGACGGUAAUGAGUAAAGAAGCACCGGCUAACUUCGUG
rnacentral:rRNA from 1 species